UGCAUCUCCUCUUUUCAACGCAAAUGUCUUGAGUCAUAGUUUAAAGCUCAGAUCUCAGAUCAUUGCUCUGUUGGUGUAUUUCUGUGUAUUUGAAGACGACUUUGGCAACCUGAAUGUUACUUUGUUCUGUUUCAGGGCUGUCACCUGGACCAGUACUACUAUGCUGUUCUCUGCAGUAAGCAUUACCCACCAGAGGGAGCCGAAGCCAAGAACUGUCAGAUUUUGAUCUGCCUUCCAGUUCUCAAGAGCGUUCCCUACUGCAGAACCUUGGAGACUGGAGAAGGAGGUAAAACAGGAAAUGGAAAGACUGCAACUUGCUAGUGAAAAACAUAAUGCCAUUGCUCAGUACUUGCUUAGUGGAGAUGAAAAGUUUGCAAGCCCAUAUUCUUGAAACUAGCACAUCCAUCCUCUUUCAAUACACUACUGUCUUGACUUACAUUGGCCACUGUCUGGUGUUUCUCAACUACAGCGACGAAGAGAAAAUUGACUGUAUCACACUGUUCAACUUAGAAACUGGAAUGGUUAAAAAAUGA
rnacentral:lncRNA from 1 species